rnacentral:rRNA from 1 species
GACGAACGCUGGCGGCGUGCCUAACACAUGCAAGUCAACUUGAAGGAAGGAGCAAUCUGACCUGAUGGUGGCGCAAGGGUGCGUAACGCGUAAGUAACUUGCCCAAGGUAAGGAAUAACGUCGAGAAAUACGGCGCUAAUACCUCAUAAUGCAGCGGAUCCGCAUGGAUAUGUUGUUAAAGGUUUACCGCCUUGGAUAGGCUUGCGUCUGAUUAGCUAGUUGGUGUGGUAAUGGCACACCAAGGCUACGAUCAGUAACUGGUCUGAGAGGAUGAUCAGUCACACUGGAACUGAGACACGGUCCAGACUCCUACGGGAGGCAGCAGUGAGGAAUAUUGGGCAAUGCACGAAAGUAGUGACCCAGCAACGCCGCCGUGGAGGA